GACGAACGCUGGCGGCGUGCUUAACACAUGCAAGUCGAACGAUGAAGAAAAGAAUUGCAGCUUCGGCAGAAAUUCAUUUCGGAUUAGUGGCAGACGGGUGAGUAACGCGUGAGCAACCUACCUCUUACAAAGGGAUAGCCUCGGGAAACCGGGAUUAAUACCAUAUAACAUUGCGACGAAGCAUUUCGAUGCAAUCAAAGCUACGGCGGUAAGAGAUGGGCUCGCGUCCCAUUAACCAGAUGGUGAGGUAACGGCUCACCAUAGUAACGAUGGGUAACCGGCCUGAGAGGGUGAACGGUCACACUGGAAGUGAGACACGGUCCAGACUCCUACGGGAGGCAGCAGUGGGGAAUAUUGCACAAUGGAGGGAACUCUGAUGCAGCGACGCCGCGUGAGUGAUGAAGGAAUUCGUUUCGUAAAACUCUGUUCUAUGGGAAGAAAAGGACUGUACCAUAGGAGAAAGCUCCGGCUAAAUACGUG
rnacentral:rRNA from 1 species